rnacentral:pre_miRNA from 1 species
ACAAAAUUGAGAUCUGUGUGAGACGAUGGUGUAUCUGAUCUAACAGAGCUAUACAACAUUGAGAUCUGUGUGAGACGAUAUACACCAUCGUCUCACACAGAUCUCAAUGUU